AAUGAGACUGGCGACGAGCCCUU
rnacentral:piRNA from 1 species